UUAAGUUAAUAAGGGCGCACGGUGGAUGCCUUGGCACUAGGAGCCGACGAAGGACGUGACAAACGACGAUAUGCCUUGGGUAGCUGUAAGUAAGCGAUGAUCCAGGGAUUUCCGAAUGGGGGAACCCAACAGGUAAUACCUGUUACCUACAUCUGUUAAGGAUGUGAGGAGGAAGACGCAGUGAACUGAAACAUCUAAGUAGCUGCAGGAAGAGAAAGCAAAAGCGAUUGCCUUAGUAGCGGCGAGCGAAACGGCAGAAGGGCAAACCGAAGAGUUUACUCUUCGGGGUUGUAGGACUGCAAUGUGGACUCAAAGAUUAUAGAAGAAUGAUUUGGGAAGAUCAGCCAAAGAGAGUAAUAGCCUCGUAUUUAAAAUAGUCUUUGUACUUAGCAGUAUCCUGAGUACGGCGGGACACGUGAAAUCCCGUCGGAAUCUGGGAGGACCAUCUCCCAACCCUAAAUACUCCCUAGUGACCGAUAGUGAACCAGUACCGUGAGGGAAAGGUGAAAAGCACCCCGGGAGGGGAGUGAAAUAGAACCUGAAACCGUGUGCCUACAACAAGUUCGAGCCCGUUAAUGGGUGAGAGCGUGCCUUUUGUAGAAUGAACCGGCGAGUUACGUUAUGAUGCGAGGUUAAGUUGAAGAGACGGAGCCGUAGGGAAACCGAGUCUGAAUAGGGCGCCUUAGUAUCAUGACGUAGACCCGAAACCAUGUGACCUACCCAUGAGCAGGUUGAAGGUGCGGUAAGACGCACUGGAGGACCGAACCAGGGCACGUUGAAAAGUGCUUGGAUGACUUGUGGGUAGCGGAGAAAUUCCAAACGAACUUGGAGAUAGCUGGUUCUCUCCGAAAUAGCUUUAGGGCUAGCGUCGACAUUAGAGAUUCUUGGAGGUAGAGCACUGUUUGGGUGAGGGGUCCAUCCCGGAUUACCAAUCUCAGAUAAACUCCGAAUGCCAAUGAAUUAUGGUCGGCAGUCAGACUGCGAGUGCUAAGAUCCGUAGUCGAAAGGGAAACAGCCCAGACCACCAGCUAAGGUCCCAAAAUAAUUGUUAAGUGGAAAAGGAUGUGGGGUUGCACAGACAACUAGGAUGUUAGCUUAGAAGCAGCUAUUCAUUCAAAGAGUGCGUAAUAGCUCACUAGUCGAGUGACCCUGCGCCGAAAAUGUACCGGGGCUAAAACAAUUUACCGAAGCUGUGGAUACCUUUAUAGGUAUGGUAGGAGAGCGUUCUAUGUGUGAUGAAGGUAUACCGUGAGGAGUGCUGGAACGCAUAGAAGUGAGAAUGCCGGUAUGAGUAGCGAAAGACAGGUGAGAAUCCUGUCCACCGUAAGACUAAGGUUUCCAGGGGAAGGCUCGUCCGCCCUGGGUUAGUCGGGACCUAAGGAGAGACCGAAAGGUGUAUCCGAUGGACAACAGGUUGAUAUUCCUGUACUAGAGUAUGUAGUGAUGGAGGGACGCAGUAGGCUAACUAAAGCAGACGAUUGGAAGAGUCUGUCUAAGCAGUGAGGUGUGAAUUGAGUCAAAUGCUUAAUUCUAUAACAUUGAGCUGUGAUGGGGAGCGAAGUUUAGUAGCGAAGUUAGUGACGUCACACUGCCAAGAAAAGCUUCUAGCGUUUAAACAUACUCUACCCGUACCGCAAACCGACACAGGUAGUCGAGGCGAGUAGCCUCAGGUGAGCGAGAGAACUCUCGUUAAGGAACUCGGCAAAAUGACCCCGUAACUUCGGGAGAAGGGGUGCUGACUUUAAGUCAGCCGCAGUGAAUAGGCCCAAGCAACCUGUUUAUCAAAAACACAGCUCUCUGCUAAAUCGUAAGAUGAUGUAUAGGGGGUGACGCCUGCCCGGUGCUGGAAGGUUAAGAGGAGUGCUUAGCGUAAGCGAAGGUAUGAAUUGAAGCCCCAGUAAACGGCGGCCGUAACUAUAACGGUCCUAAGGUAGCGAAAUUCCUUGUCGGGUAAGUUCCGACCCGCACGAAAGGCGUAAUGAUUUGGGCACUGUCUCAACGAGAGACUCGGUGAAAUUUUAGUACCUGUGAAGAUGCAGGUUACCCGCGACAGGACGGAAAGACCCCAUGGAGCUUUACUGCAGUUUGAUAUUGAGUGUCUGUACCACAUGUACAGGAUAGGUAGGAGUCUAAGAGAUCGGGACGCCAGUUUCGAAGGAGACGCUGUUGGGAUACUACCCUUGUGUUAUGGCCACUCUAACCCAGAUAGGUGAUCCCUAUCGGAGACAGUGUCUGACGGGCAGUUUGACUGGGGCGGUCGCCUCCUAAAAGGUAACGGAGGCGCCCAAAGGUUCCCUCAGAAUGGUUGGAAAUCAUUCGCAGAGUGUAAAGGUAUAAGGGAGCUUGACUGCGAGAGCUACAACUCGAGCAGGGACGAAAGUCGGGCUUAGUGAUCCGGUGGUUCCGUAUGGAAGGGCCAUCGCUCAACGGAUAAAAGCUACCCUGGGGAUAACAGGCUUAUCUCCCCCAAGAGUUCACAUCGACGGGGAGGUUUGGCACCUCGAUGUCGGCUCGUCGCAUCCUGGGGCUGUAGUCGGUCCCAAGGGUUGGGCUGUUCGCCCAUUAAAGCGGCACGCGAGCUGGGUUCAGAACGUCGUGAGACAGUUCGGUCCCUAUCCGUCGCGGGCGUAGGAAAUUUGAGAGGAUCUGCUCCUAGUACGAGAGGACCAGAGUGGACUUACAGCUGGUGUACCAGUUGUCUUGCCAAAGGCAUCGCUGGGUAGCUAUGUUGGGAAGGGAUAAACGCUGAAAGCAUCUAAGUGUGAAACCCACCUCAAGAUGAGAUUUCCCAUGAUUAUAUAUCAGUAAGAGCCCUGAGAGAUGAUCAGGUAGAUAGGUUAGAAGUGGAAGUGUGGCGACACAUGUAGCGGACUAAUACUAAUAGCUCGAGGACUUAUCCAA
rnacentral:rRNA from 1 species